GCGAGUGAAGCGGCAAAAGCUCAAAUUUGAAAUCUGGCACCUUCGGUGUCCGAGUUGUAAUUUGAAGAAGGUAACCUUGGGGUUGGCUCUUGUCUAUGUUUCUUGGAACAGAACGUCACAGAGGGUGAGAAUCCCGUGCGAUGAGAUGCCCAAUUCUAUGUAAGGUGCUUUCGAAGAGUCGAGUUGUUUGGGAAUGCAGCUCUAAGUGGGUGGUAAAUUCCAUCUAAAGCUAAAUAUUGGCGAGAGACCGAUAGCGAACAAGUACAGUGAUGGAAAGAUGAAAAGAACUUUGAAAAGAGAGUGAAAAAGUACGUGAAAUUGUUGAAAGGGAAGGGUAUGAGAUCAGACUUGGUGUUUUGCAACCUUACUCUCGGGUGGGGCCCCUGCAGUUCAUCGGGCCAGCAUCAGUUUGGAUGGUAGGAUAAUGACAUUGGAAAGUGGCUUGGCUUCGGUCAAGUGUUAUAGCCUUUGUUGAUACUACCUGUCUAGACUGAGGACUGCGUCUUUGACUAGGAUGCUGGCAUAAUGAUCCUAUACCGCCC
rnacentral:rRNA from 1 species